rnacentral:rRNA from 1 species
GAUGAACGCUGGCGGCGUGCCUAAUACAUGCAAGUCGAGCGAACAGACGAGGAGCUUGCUCCUCUGACGUUAGCGGCGGACGGGUGAGUAACACGUGGAUAACCUACCUAUAAGACUGGGAUAACUUCGGGAAACCGGAGCUAAUACCGGAUAAUAUAUUGAACCGCAUGGUUCCAUAGUGAAAGACGGUUUUGCUGUCACUUAUAGAUGGAUCCGCGCCGCAUUAGCUAGUUGGUAAGGUAACGGCUUACCAAGGCAACGAUGCGUAGCCGACCUGAGAGGGUGAUCAGCCACACUGGAACUGAGACACGGUCCAGACUCCUACGGGAGGCAGCAGUAGGGAAUCUUCCGCAAUGGGCGAAAGCCUGACGGAGCAACGCCGCGUGAGUGAUGAAGGUCUUCGGAUCGUAAAACUCUGUUAUUAGGGAAGAACAAAUGUGUAAGUAACUAUGCACGGCUUGACGGUACCUGAUCAGAAAGCCACGGCUAACUACGUG